rnacentral:rRNA from 1 species
GUGAGGAAUUUUCCGCAAUGGGCGAAAGCCUGACGGAGCAAUGCCGCGUGAAGGAUGAAGGCCUAUGGGUUGUAAACUUCUUUUCUCAGAAAAGAAUUAUGACGGUAUCUGAGGAAUAAGCAUCGGCUAACUCUGUGCCAGCAGCCGCGGUAAGACAGAGGAUGCAAGCGUUAUCCGGAAUGAUUGGGCGUAAAGCGUCUGUAGGUUGUUUAAAAAGUAUUCUGUCAAAGAUUAGGGCUUAACCCUAGAUAGGCAGAAUAAACUUUUAAGCUAGAGGUUGGUAGAGGCAGAGGGAAUUCCCGGUGGAGCGGUGAAAUGCGUAGAUAUCGGGAGGAACACCAAAGGCGAAGGCACUCUGCUGGGCCAAUACUAACACUGAGAGACGAAAGCGAGGGGAGCAAAUGGGAUUAGAAACCCUAGUAGUCC